rnacentral:rRNA from 1 species
AGAUACCCCACUAUGCUUAGCCCUAAACUCAGAUAUUUACCACACAAAAAUAUCCGCCAGAGAACUACGAGCAAGACGCUUAAAACUCUAAGGACUUGGCGGUAUCUCAAACCCCCCUAGAGGAGCCUGUUCUACAAUCGAUAAUCCACGAUCCACCCCACCAUCCCUUGCCAAUACCGCCUAUAUACCGCCGUCACCAGCUUACCCUAUGAAGGACACAAAGCAAGCAAAAUAGUUAAAACAACUAACAAGUCAGGUCAAGGUGUAGCUAAUUGAGAUGGAAGAAAUGGGCUACAUUUUCUAUACUAGAAAUUAAUUUACGGAAAGGACUAUGAAACAAGCCCUAUAAGUAGGAUUUAGCAGUAAAUCGGAGUCAGAAUACCCGACUUAAGCCGGUCCUGAGAUACGCACACACCGCCCGUGGCCCUC